UACAGAGGUCCCGAGCGUUGUUCGGAUUCAUUGGGCGUAAAGGGUGCGUAGGCGGCGGGGCCAGUCUGAUGUGAAAUCCCGGGGCUCAACCCCGGAACUGCAUUGGAUACUGCCUUGCUCGAGUACUGGAGAGGGAACUGGAAUUUACGGUGUAGCAGUGAAAUGCGUAGAGAUCGUAAGGAAGGCCAGUGGCGAAGGCGGGUCUCUGGGCCGAUAUUGACGCUGAGGAGCGAAAGCGUGGGGAGCGAACAGG
rnacentral:rRNA from 1 species